GCGGGCACGUGCUCAGACCUUUAGAGAACCGACUGACUCACCCAUUUCCUGGGUCGUCCCCUGGGUCUUUUCACCCCAGUUGCCUCGGCUUUCUGUGGAGACACAUUAGAGAAGAGCAAUCAGACUUUGUCCCGUGACUUCAUGACAUAUAUGACUUUUUUUUUUUUUUUGAAAAAAAAGAAAAAACAUGCUGAGAUCAUUACAGCAAAGUCCAACAGGUGAAGAAACAUGAGCAGCCAAACGUGCAGACGGGCUGGAAACAAACCAAGCGUUUAUCCCUCCUUUCGCAGGAAAACGUGGCUGAAUUGUUUCCCUGCUAAAAAAUGAACUCAGAUGACUGAAUGAAGGAAGGCAGAAAGGGAAGGAAGUGAGCAGGCACACAGCUGAAUGGGAUCCAUGGAAGUGGCAGUGGGGAAGUCCCCAUACAUGUUACUGAUACAUACAUAUAUACACGCAUACAGCCAGCUCACUAUAAACCCUCCAAUGAAAGUGGUCUGUAUGUUUUAGCUUCAGAUCACAAUCUGAAUGCUGUACAUUACUUUGAAAGCACGCCACAGUGAUGACUUCUGUAUGUCUGUGUGUUUCCUUACUAUUAGGACGUCACUGCUUUCUCUUUCAUUACACUGUAAAAACAAACGUGCAGAGACUUGAAGCUUCCUUUCAUGAUCUCGUGGCAUAAUUGUUGUACGGUAACGCAGAACAAACAUUUCGAAACCUACUUCACUGUGGUACCGUGCAACGAUAACGUAACACAACCCUAACCACAAUGCCAACCCGUCCCAUUUGUUUCAUUAGGUUAGUCUUAGUGCUCUGCUGAAUGUGUAUUUGGAUUUUCCUGUGCCUGCUCUCUAAUCUUAUGUUCUGUUUUAUAUAUAUAUGUAUAUAAAGAUUUGUUAAAUGUGGCCACUGUAAAAAAAAAAAAAGAAAGGUUAGCAAAGCA